AAUGAGGGCGUUAAAGAAACGAGUGUCAGAUAGUUUGACCACAGUCUUCCACUUACACAAGGUUCGAUGUCUCAGAAUGUUGUUUUUUUCAUUUAUUUAUUCAUUUCUUUCAUUUAUUUUAAAACCUGUUCCUAAUGUCGUUCUACUAUGUCUUGACAUACGUGCUAUGAUGUUUUUAUAUUUGAAUGUGAUAUAAAUAAAUACACACUCUUGUACGUACGAAAUUACGUAUUAUGUUUUCCACGUUCCAAAUGGAAGCAGGGAGAUACUACAUUUUAGCAUGUAGCUUAAGUAAAACAAAGUCCACAAGAACGUAAUGAGCAACACGUUACUGGACCAUGGUGAGCGUACAACGAGCAUUAGCUACACGCUAAUGUUAGCGUUUAGCUUGACAGGCGACAGCAUGAACCAUGUCGGCUCCUGUUGACGGAAAUGGUGUCAGAAUAUUGAGAGGCGUGUGAUGGCAUCUAUGCUAACUUGGUCGCUUGUGUCGCCGGGUUCUCUCUGCGGCUCGUCGUGCCUCCUGUGCAGCUCGUGUCGGCAGCUCUGUGGCAGAUAGUGAAGCAGGGAGCUGUGGUGCACUAUGGUCUGCUGGAGGAGUCCAUCAGCUCAGGGUGGUGCUAGAGUGUUGCCGCAGUCCUGUUUUUAUCAGUUCCCAGACCAUCCAGCUACAUCUGAGCAGAAUGAACAGCGUCAUCGCAAAACAGGAUAAUCGGUCUCCAUCGCUGUCUGUUUUUGUAAUGAACUCUGAUUAAAGAUCUGAUUGACAAACUUCCUGCAGCUUGUUCACGCACUAUUGGAUGAGCAGUUCCAGAGGGAUGUAUUUUAUGAGUGUUUGGCCCUAAAUAUGACUCUGCUCCGGAAACAAUAAUGAGGAAAUUUCUCUUAAACCUUCAGAAGCUGCUGCCUGUUCCAAACCUUGAACAACUCCGUCUCCCUCUGGCGAUGACUGCAUACUGUCCAGCCUGUCCUACCACCUAACAAACGCCGUCAAUGACGAAGGAGAUAAAGUUGUCAUAUCUGGAUCCACGUGUUUCACUGAGGACGACCGCGGCGGCAACGCACUUGUAACCGAGUUUAAACAGGAUGAAGAAGGAAGUAAUGUGACCUUUUGAUGGAAGUGAGUCUGAUGAUGAUGAAGAUAUGGACAAAACUUGCUUAAAAACUCACACUAGGACUAGGAAACAUCAGAGCAAAUGUUCCACAAAACGUCCUCGAAGAAAAAGGCAAAGAAACACUAACCAUUCUGUCAUCGGUGGGUGUAAUUUCCAGUCACCUGACAGUGAGACAAGUUCUGAAACAAAGGCAAGUCGAACUGAACCACCGAAGAACUCCACAGGCCUUGCAGAUGAUUCUCACGCCUCGUCCUUCACUAUCAAGUGCACCAUAUGUGAGAAGACUUUCUCAGAAAUCAUUCUAUUGAACUGACACUAUGCCAAGUUACUUAAAAUCACAAGCUCGUACCCUUGCGCUUUGUGCAAGAGAACCUUUGUGAGGCUGUGCCAAUUGGUGCGGCAUCAGCAGAACCAACCGCUGUAUCAGUGCUCCACCUGUAAGAAAUGUUACUCUAAGCAAGGACUUUUAGAUAAUCACAGGAAAGCACACACCGACACUGUAACGGCACACCUUUGUGAAACGUGUGGGAAAAGCUUCAAAUCGCUCGCUUAUCUGAUUCCGCACCAGAGCAAGCACCAAGAACAGCAGCCCAGUGUGUGCUCCUACUGUGGCAAACAGUUCAGCACAAAACACUGCCGUGAAAGCACACAUGGUGAGGCACACAGGUGGUUACCCGUGGCCCGUGUGCAGAAGGAAAUUCUAUCAAAAGACGUACCUUAAAUGGCAUCUGUAUAAACACAACGGGCAGCAGCCAUACCUCUGCGACACGUGCGGGAAAGGCUGGACCAAGGUUCACAUGGUCCAGCAUGCUCACCAGUGUCACUUGGUCCGAGGCUUGAAAGUGCAACACUAAUUCCGCACAUUUUGUUUGACUGUGUGAAUCAUUUUCUGAUAUUUUCUCCCCCUCCAAGGCCUACAAGAAACUCAAGGUCGUUUAACUCCAGAGACUCCAGUUGAAUGAAAUUACCAGAGAAAUAUACUAUAGUAUUGGAAACUGUCUGGCGAAACAUGCACAAGGCUGUAUGACGUGUGCGGCCCAGAAUGAUUUUAUUUUCUACGUGGGAAUGGAAAAAAAGUUAUUAUUUAUUAUCACUAAACAGUGAAAUUAAUGGACAAGGAAAAACAGAGUAAUUAAAGGGCACAUUCACUGCCGUGUUGUACUUCAUAUAUAAUUUUAAUAAUGCAAUCUUAUGUACAAUCAUCUAAGAAUUGACUGCAGGAAAGAAAUUAUUUGAUGUCAUUUGGUUACUAAUCAGUAUUAAUCAAUUAAUCAAGUUACUGUAAUAUAAACAUAUCAAUCCAAUAAAUAAUUUCAGCAUUAAUACUGCACCUUGUGCAGGAGCCCACUGUUGCAGGAACAACUUUGCUCCACUAGAUGGCAGUGGUGCUCCAUUAAAAACUGCCCAGUUCAGCUCAGUAUUUUGAGCUCUGUAACUGCAAGUUGAUUUAGUCAUAAUUUCACAGACCAACCUCCCAUGAAAUUGAGACGACACCAGAUUUCUAUAAAAGCAUGUAGAGGCAGUCGGAAUUAAAAUGUGUUCUGAACUACAUCAUUUUCUGGUAUUUAAACUUAUUAUGUAUGAGUGCAAUCAC